rnacentral:rRNA from 1 species
UGCCUUAGUAACGGCGAGUGAAGCGGCAAUAGCUCAAAUUUGAAAGCUGGCCCCUUCGGGGUCCGCGUUGUAAUUUGUAGAGGAUGAUUCGGCGAGGGCUCCCGUCUAAGUCCCUUGGAACAGGGCGUCAUAGAGGGUGAGAAUCCCGUAUGUGAUGGGCUGCCUUAGCCAUGUGAAUCUCCUUCGACGAGUCGAGUUGUUUGGGAAUGCAGCUCUAAAUGGGAGGUAAAUUUCUUCUAAAGCUAAAUACCGGCCAGAGACCGAUAGCGCACAAGUAGAGUGAUCGAAAGAUGAAAAGCACUUUGGAAAGAGAGUUAAAAAGUACGUGAAAUUGUUGAAAGGGAAGCGCUUGCAGCCAGACUUGUCCGCAGUUGCUCAGCCUGUCUCCUGACAGGCGUACUCUUCUGCGGCCAGGCCAGCAUCAGUUCGGGCGGUCGGAUAAAGACCUAGGGAAUGUAGCUCCUCUCGGGGAGUGUUAUAGCCCUGGGUGCAAUGCGGCCAGCCUGGACUGAGGAUCUCGCUUCGGCUAGGAUGCUGGCGUAAUGGCUGUAAGCGGCCCGUCUUGAAACACGGACCAAGGAGUCUAACAUCUAUGCGAGUGUUUGGGUGUCAAACCCAUGCGCGUAAUGAAAGUGAACGGAGGUGGGAACCCUCACGGGUGCACCAUCGACCGAUCCUGAUGUCUUCGGAUGGAUUUGAGUAAGAGCAUAGCUGUUGGGACCCGAAAGAUGGUGAACUAUGCCUGAAUAGGGUGAAGCCAGAGGAAACUCUGGUGGAGGCUCGCAGCGGUUCUGACGUGCAAAUCGAUCGUCAAAUUUGGGUAUAGGGGCGAAAGACUAAUCGAACCAUCUAG